ACUCCUGCGGGAGGCAGCAGUGGGGAAUUUUGGACAAUGGGCGAAAGCCUGAUCCAGCAAUGCCGCGUGAGUGAAGAAGGCCUUCGGGUUGUAAAGCUCUUUUGUCAGGGAAGAAACGGUGAGAGCUAAUAUCUUUUGCUAAUGACGGUACCUGAAGAAUAAGCACCGGCUAACUACGUGCCAGCAGCCGCGGUAAUACGUAGGGUGCAAGCGUUAAUCGGAAUUACUGGGCGUAAAGCGUGCGCAGGCGGUUUUGUAAGUCUGAUGUGAAAUCCCCGGGCUCAACCUGGGAAUUGCAUUGGAGACUGCAAGGCUAGAAUCUGGCAGAGGGGGGUAGAAUCCCACGUGUAGCAGUGAAAUGCGUAGAUAUGUGGAGGAACACCGAUGGCGAAGGCAGCCCCCUGGGUCAAGAUUGACGCUCAUGCACGAAAGCGUGGGGAGCAAACAGGAUUAGAUACCCCAGUAGUCCCAUGA
rnacentral:rRNA from 1 species